GAUGAACGCUGGCGGCGUGCCUAAUACAUGCAAGUCGAGCGAACAGAUGAGGAGCUUGCUCCUCUGACGUUAGCGGCGGACGGGUGAGUAACACGUGGAUAACCUACCUAUAAGACUGGGAUAACUUCGGGAAACCGGAGCUAAUACCGGAUAAUAUAUUGAACCGCAUGGUUCAAUAGUGAAAGACGGUUUUGCUGUCACUUAUAGAUGGAUCCGCGCCGCAUUAGCUAGGUGGUAAGGUAACGGCUUACCAAGGCAACGAUGCGUAGCCGACCUGAGAGGGUGAUCGGCUACACUGGAACUGAGACACGGUCCAGACUCCUACGGGAGGCAGCAGUAGGGAAUCUUCCGCAAUGGGCGAAAGCCUGACGGAGCAACGCCGCGUGAGUGAUGAAGGUCUUCGGAUCGUAAAACUCUGUUAUUAGGGAAGAACAAAUGUGUAAGUAACUAUGCACGUCUUGACGGUACCUAAUCAGAAAGCCACGGCUAACUACGUG
rnacentral:rRNA from 1 species